rnacentral:rRNA from 1 species
UGAGGGAUAUUGGGCAAUGGGGGAAACCCUGACCCAGCGACGCCGCGUGAGGGAAGACGGUCUUCGGAUUGUAAACCUCUGUCUUUGGGGACGAAAAAGGACGGUACCCAAGGAGGAAGCUCCGGCUAACUACGUGCCAGCAGCCGCGGUAAUACGUAGGGAGCGAGCGUUGUCCGGAAUUACUGGGUGUAAAGGGAGCGUAGGCGGGAAGGCAAGUUGGAUGUGAAAACUGUGGGCUCAACCGACAGACUGCAUUCAAAACUGUUUUUCUUGAGUGAAGUAGAGGCAAAGCGGAAUUCCUAGUGUAGCGGUGAAAUGCGUAGAUAUUAGGAGGAACACCAGUGGCGAAGGCGGCUUGCUGGGCUUUUACUGACGCUGAGGCUCGAAAGUGUGGGGAGCAAACAGGAUUAGAUACC